rnacentral:rRNA from 1 species
UACGUAGGGGGCAAGCGUUGUCCGGAUUUAUUGGGCGUAAAGAGCGUGUAGGCGGCCAGACAGGUCCGUUGUGAAAACUAGAGGCUUAACCUCUAGACGUCGAUGGAAACCGUCUGGCUAGAGUCCGGAAGAGGAGAAUGGAAUUCCUGGUGUAGCGGUGAAAUGCGCAGAUAUCAGGAAGAACACCCGGUGGCUAAGGCGGUUCUCUAGUACGGUACUGACGCUGAGACGCGAAAGCGUGGGGAGCGAACAGG